UAGUCAUAUGCUUGUUUCAAGGACUAAGCCAUGCAUGCCUCAGAAUCACUGCACUGCAGGAAUCUGCGCAUGGCUCAUUACAUCAGACGUAAUCUGCCGCAAAAAUGUUGCGGUCUCCGCAAAAUUGGAUACCUUGGCGAAACGCCAAGCUAAUACAUGAACCAAUCGGACGUUCUCCAUCAACGCGGUGUGCGGCUUGCCAAGCAUCGUAGUGAGUCGUCCAGCGAAUGAAUGAAAUUAAAACCAAUGCCGCGGACGCGGCAGCAGCACUCAGAAGUGUUGACUCAAUUCAUUCCGUGCGAAAGCUGGUUUACCAGCGUCUUUUGACGAACAACUGCCCUAUCAGCCAGUGAUGGCCGUGUAGUGGACUGCCAUGGCGUUGACGGGAGCGGGGGAUUAGGGUUCGAUUCCGGAGAGGGAGCCUGAGAAAUAGCUACCACUUCUACGGAGGGCAGCAGGCGCGCAAAUUGCCCAAUGUCAAAAAAAACGAUGAGGCAGCGAAAAGAAAUAGGCCUCCCAGUCACUUCGGUGAUUGGGAGAUACAAUGGGGAUUUACCCAUCCAAUAUCGAGUAACAAUU
rnacentral:rRNA from 1 species